rnacentral:misc_RNA from 1 species
UUACACUGCGUAGUUUAUGCUGAUCGUGAGUGGUGAAACGCGAUCUAAGCUGAAUUCGGUAUUUCUCUUCCUAUUUUAUUAAAAAUCGGACCUCUACGGUUUUCGAUGUCUUCAAAAAGUGCUUAGGCCAAGUCUGGACAAUGGCAGCACACAAGACAGGCGGCCAAAGCGCCCGGAAGAAAGUCCAGGUGUCUAUGGUAAUUAGAGACGAAGUUGAACGUAAGCAUAGAGCUGGCGUAAACUCACUGCAGUAUGAUCCAGUAUCGCACAGACUCUAUUCGGCAGGAAGAGACAGUAUAAUUCGAAUAUGGAACUGCAAAAAUAUAAAAGAACCGUACAUCCAGUCAAUGGAACAUCAUACUGACUGGGUGAACGACAUUGUGUCGUGUUGCGGUGGAAAGAAUUUGAUAUCAGCUAGUUCGGACACAACAGUCAAAGUUUGGAAUGCUCACAAAGGCUUUUGUAUGUCUACAUUGCGUACGCAUAAAGAUUAUGUGAAAGCGCUUGCUUAUGCCAAGGACAGAGAACAGGUGGCCAGUGCCGGAUUGGACAGAGCAAUAUUCCUAUGGGAUGUCAACACUCUCACUGCUCUCACUGCUAGCAACAAUACAGUAACCACAUCCUCGUUAACUGGAAAUAAGGACUCUAUUUACAGCCUGGCGAUGAAUCCUUCUGGGACUGUGAUAGUCAGUGGCAGUACCGAGAAAGUGUUGCGUGUCUGGGAUCCCAGGUCAUGUGCAAAAUUGAUGAAGCUCAGGGGGCAUGCGGAUAAUAUUAAAGCUUUGGUGUUAAACAAAGAUGGUACUCAAUGUCUCUCUGCAAGCUCAGACGGUACCAUAAAAUUAUGGUCUCUUGGCCAACAGUGGUGCAUACAAACUUUCAGGGUACACACGGAAGGCGUUUGGGCUUUACUAGCCACGGAUACAUUCAGUCAUGUGAUAUCUGGAGGAAGAGAUAGAAAAGUAAUAAUGACAGAGCUGAGAGCAACUGAGAAAUGUACUGUUAUAUGUGAGGAAAAUGCUCCGAUCCUUAAAAUGGCUAUGACGCCCGAUCAGACCAGCUUGUGGGUAGCAACAAGUGAAUCUACCAUAAAUAAUUGGACAAUUACUCAAAAAGACUGGCAGUGUGGUGACUAUUGCGAAGACGCAAUGGGGAACGGAGGUGGUUUGAGGACUAUGGGACCACGUAACUCGGACCCUGCACAAAAAAUUAUAGGUGGUGCUGCAGUUAGGCAUUGUCAUGUAUUAAAUGACAGAAGACACGUUUUGACUCGGGACACUGAGGAGAAUGUGGCGCUUUAUGAUGUCUUGAAAGCUGUCAAAGUCGUUGAUCUUGGACGAGUAGACUUUGAGCAGGAAGUGAAGAAGAGAAAUAAGACUGUAUAUGUCCCUAACUGGUUCAAUGUCGACCUCAAAACCGGGAUGCUGACAAUACACUUGGGCCAGGACGAAAAUGACUGUUUUUCUGCAUGGGUGUCUGCAAAAGAAACGAACUUGGCUGACAACGAUGCUGUUGACCAAAAAGUAAACUAUGGAAAUCUACUACUUCAAGCACUUCUGGAGCACUGGUGGAGGCCGUUACAUGGUGAUGAUGAAAAUGAAGGAAAUGUUAAUGACGGAAAUGGUCCAACGCAUACGAGAGGAGGGAAUCCAUAUUUCUCAGUACCUGGACAUACGCCUGUUAUCUUCAGUGAGGUCGGUGGCAGGACUCUGUACAGAUUGCUCGUUCGCGAUGCAGCUGGAGAAACGGAAGGCGUUCUUCUAAAUGAGACUGUCCCUCCCUGGGUGGUGGACAUCGUUGUGGAUAAAAAUCUACCGAAAUUUAUUAAAAUUCCCUUCUACCUUUUGCCACACUCCACCUCUGGGGUGAAGAGUUUGAAAAAGGAUCGCCUGAUUGCCAAUGACUUUAUACAGGUACGCAAAGUUGCCGAACACGUCUAUGAUAAGGUAUUGGGGGCUGGAAGUGAUUCAGGUUCAGUUACUGGUGCUGGAAAUACGGUAUCAGGUGGAUCUCCAGCUGGAGAUAGAACGAACGCUGACUCAAACACGGAUAACACAUCGUUGGCAGAAGAGAAAGUUGAGUUGCUCUGCAAUGACCAGGUUUUGGAUCCAUCUAUGGACUUGAGAACGGUGAGACAUUUCAUAUGGAAGAGUUCUGCCGAUUUAACACUCCAUUAUCGACCAAUCAAAUAGUUAAAACCUGGACCAGAGCCCUCGAAGACUUAUCGAUAUACAUUGCGACACUAUGGCAUUACGGCCAAUAAAACUCUGAGUACGACGACAGUUCCGUGGGGUGUGGACGACAGCAAGGAACGGUUUUUGGUGGUGGUUUUAGUAGGUAUUCCGUAAGGCGAGUCCCACACU